GAUGAAAACGUAGCGAAAUGCGAUACGUAAUGUGAAUUGCAGAAUUCAGUGAAUCAUCGAGUCUUUGAACGCACAUUGCGCCCCCUGGUAUUCCGGGGGGCAUGCCUGUCCGAGCGUCAUUGCUGCCCUCAAGCACGGCUUGUGUGUUGGGCCUCCGUCCUCCUCCCGGGGGACGGGCCCGAAAGGCAGCGGCGGCACCGCGUCCGGUCCUCGAGCGUAUGGGGCUUCGUCACCCGCUCUUGUAGGCCCGGCCGGCGCUUGCCGACACAUCAAUCUUUUUUCCAGGUUGACCUCGGAUCAGGUAGGGAUCCCCGCUGAACUUAAGCAUAUCAAUAAGCGGAGGA
rnacentral:misc_RNA from 1 species